ACGAAAUUAACAGCGACUUUAUUGAUGCUGACAACUCAUUCUAGUUAAUGACAAUCUUGAACAUAGUAACAUACACAUAGGUUGCUAACAUCACAAACAAUGUAUGAAAUACAAUUAAAUGUAUAAUUGACAAUUUAUGUUUUUUUCCCUCUAAGUGAUUUCUUCUAUCUAUCAUUUUUUUGGUGUUAUUCCCAUAUGGUUUCAUUUUGAAAUAUGCAUUCACUCUAAAGGUUCAAAGAAUAAUUGAAUAAGUAUAUAAAUCUUUCUCGUUCUCUUUAAAAGAACAAGGCAGCUUUGUUCAGUACAAAUUGAAUGUAUCCCCCAGAUGUCGGCUGAAUUGUGUCAGUAUAUGAAAAUCAACUAUAAACAUACUAUUGGAGUUGACAGCUUCUGGUCUGCUACUUUUUAUUUUUUAAGGGGAUUGAACUAGGAAGUCGAGAUCAAGUGUCAAAUGUACUUACAAGAAAUUCAACUCACCCAAAUAGUUUUAAUAUACCAUUGAAAAUGUCAGAGAUGCACCUCACAAUUUUUUUUUCAUACCUAACCACUGUAGCAUGAAAAUGAGGUCCAUUUAUCAUAUGACAGAUCCAGGUAUUUAUGACCUUCCUUAUCCUUAAAAUAAACCAAAUUAACUGCUUGAAAGCAAAAUUUGGUGAAGACCAUAUGACAGGUAUCAUAGAGACAUGCUUUUAACAACCAAUCAAUACAUUUCAUUACAUAUUGUUGAUCUAUCAUGUAU
rnacentral:lncRNA from 1 species